GUUUCCCUCCUGGUUCUCCUGGCUCCUUGAUAUAUAGACAAGAUAUCAUAUCAGGCUUUUUCAAAUUCUUCCACAGAAAACUCAGUGAUGUGGAGAAUUAUAAACUGUCUUGAAAGAAUUUCUUCAUUGUGCAUUUUUGCAGCCUUCUUCACAGCAGUACUGAGCCAAAUCUUUACUCUUUGAAGAUGUCAACAAAACCACUUCAAAGUACCUCUGCCUCACACAAUGUAUUUUUUGGGAAUUGCUUAAAGGAAGAGAGUAACAUAACUUGGUGUUAUAAGUACGCUAAUUUCUGGAAGGAUCUCAGAAGGAAACAUGUCUGGAAGUUGUACAGCCUACAAAACCAUGUGGUGAUUUGAUAUUGUCCUGAAUCUGGUUUGCCUUGAACACGCUCUGCACGUUAAAAUGUCCCUGGAGAAGGAAAGCACAGUUGGCUAUCCCAGCAUGAAUACUCUGCAAAUAUUGUUCUGGGACCUGCACAGCCUGGGAAAAUAUGGAACAUGGUGCCUGGAUACUUUGUAGCAUUAAUUGCUUUUUGCCCUUAUCUGCACCCACUGGCUUAAUAGCAAUCUGUCUGCAUAGUGUGUGGUGUGUGCUUUUUUUCCCAUGAAUUUUGAGAAAUUAUAUGUUAAGAGGAGAUAUACUACAUGGGAAAAUCCACUUAGUCUGAAAAGAGUUGGCUGUGGACAGUGCUGGCAGCUCCUGGAAAUAGCUGCUUUGCAGGGGUACACACAGACAGAUGAUCUCAAGUGAAGACAUUGCAAAUAAAACAUCCCUCAAAACAUUCUCAAGUGUGAUGUAAGGCAACAAAAGAUGAAUGUGCUGUGAAUCCCGGGGUGUUCCUCAAAGUUCAAUCCAUAGUCAUGUCCCGUGCAGCAAAGAAGGUUUUAAGAUAAUGGUGUUACAUGUUUUUAAAGACUUCUUUUUCUGUUUUGUCCUUCUUUUCCUUCUUGUGCAUUCAGUGCAUUGUUAUUUGCUAGAUAAUUAUUGGUGCUGACGGUCCUUGGUGAGGACAUGAAUCUUCCCUGUGAUGUCAAUUUCCUAGUUUUAACUACAAAACACGUUAGAUGUACUAGGCUUUUGGUAGGCCUUCUUUGCUUUUUUGAUAUCUGAAUGACUCUGCAGAUUCAGUCCUCUUCUGAGGGUUGGAGCAAGAGUGAGGAUCUGGAUUUGUUCAAGUUGGUGUCUGUGCUCCAAGACCAGUAAGGACCUGGUGGCAGUGAGAAUACCAGGUGUCAUGGUUUUAGCUGGGAUGGAGUUAAUUUUCUUCACUGCAGCUGGCAUAGUGCUGCGCUUUGGACGUAGUAUGAAAAUGAUGUUGAUAACACACGCGUGUUUUGGUUGUUUCUGGGCAGUGCUUGUACUAGUCAAGGACUUUUCUAGCCUCCCAUGCUCUGCCGGGUGCACAAGAAGCAGGGAGGGGAGGGGGCACAGCUAAGAGAGUGGAUUCAAGCUGGCCAAAGAGGAUAUUCCAUACCAUGUGAUGUCAUGCCCAGUAUGUUAACUGGGAGGAGCUGGCCAGGGGAGGGAGGCAGCAAUCGCUGCUCAGGGAUCGGCAGCAACAGUUGGUGGGUGGUGAGUGGCUGUAUCAUUUGUGUGUUGUUUUUUUUCUUUUUCCCUUUUCCUUUUUAUUAUAUUAUCAUUAUUGUUUUUCUCAUAAUCAUUAUUAUUAUCAUUAUUGUUUUAAUUAUUAAACUGUUCUUACCUUAACCCACAAGUGUUUUCUUUUCCUUUGCUCUUCUGAUUCUCUCCCCCAUCACACAGGGGUGGGGGGAGUGAGCAAGCAGCUGCAUGGUGUUUAGUUGCCAACUGGGGCUGAACCACAAUACCAGGAUACCUAGUCAUGCAAGGACUGGCAACGAGUCCAGUAUCCUCCUAGUGAUGCAAUACCUUUAUGCCAUGAAAGAAUCACCCUGUAGGCAUAUAAACAUCCCAGGUCCUCCUCCUCCCAUUUUAAGAAUGUUUUGCACACAAACCCACUGCCAAGCAUUGGUGGCAUAGCAGAGGAUCCCAUCCCAUGCAUCUGCCUCACCAUGUUCAUUCUUCAAAUACAUUUUGUGCAUCCUCUAUUCAUAUUU